AGCGAACGCUGGCGGCAGGCCUAACACAUGCAAGUCGAACGAACUCUUCGGAGUUAGUGGCGGACGGGUGAGUAACACGUGGGAACGUGCCUUUUGGUUCGGAAUAACUCAGGGAAACUUGUGCUAAUACCGAAUGUGCCCUUCGGGGGAAAGAUUUAUCGCCAUUAGAGCGGCCCGCGUCUGAUUAGCUAGUUGGUGAGGUAACGGCUCACCAAGGCGACGAUCAGUAGCUGGUCUGAGAGGAUGACCAGCCACACUGGGACUGAGACACGGCCCAGCCUCCUACGGGAGGCAGCAAUGGGGAAUCUUGCGCAAUGGGCGAAAGCCUGACGCAGCCAUGCCGCGUGAAUGAUGAAGGUCUUAGGAUUGUAAAAUUCUUUCACCGGGGACGAUAAUGACGGUACCCGGAGAAGAAGCCCCGGCUAACUUCGUG
rnacentral:rRNA from 1 species